rnacentral:rRNA from 1 species
CCUACGGGAGGCAGCAGUGGGGAAUAUUGCGCAAUGGGCGAAAGCCUGACGCAGCGACGCCGCGUGAGUGAUGAAGGUCUUCGGAUCGUAAACCUCUGUCAGCAGGGAAGAACGGUUACUGUGCUAAUCAGUAGUGAAUUGACGGUACCUGCAAAGGAAGCACCGGCUAACUCCGUGCCAGCAGCCGCGGUAAUACGGAGGGUGCGAGCGUUAAUCGGAAUUACUGGGCGUAAAGCGCACGUAGGCGGUAUGUCAAGUCAGGUGUGAAAUCCCCGCGCUCAACGUGGGAAGUGCCUUUGAAACUGGCAAACUGGAGUGUGUGAGAGGAGAGUAGAAUUCCAGGUGUAGGAGUGAAAUGCGUAGAUAUCUGGAGGAACAUCAGUGGCGAAGGCGACUAUCUGGCACAUAACUGACGCUGAGGUGCGAAAGCGUGGGGAGCAAACAGGAUUAGAUACCCCAGUAGUC